UACGUAGGGGGCAAGCGUUGUCCGGAUUUAUUGGGCGUAAAGAGCGUGUAGGCGGCUAGAUAGGUCCGUUGUGAAAACUCGAGGCUCAACCUCGAGACGUCGAUGGAAACCAUCUGGCUAGAGUCCGGAAGAGGAGAGUGGAAUUCCUGGUGUAGCAGGUGAAAUGCGCAGAUAUCAGGAAGAACACCCGUGGCGAAGGCGG
rnacentral:rRNA from 1 species